GGUUGAUCCUGCCGGAGGCCAUUGCUAUCGGAGUCCGAUUUAGCCAUGCUAGUCGCACGGGUUUAGACCCGUGGCGAAAAGCUCAGUAACACGUGACCAAACUACCCUGUGGACGGGACUAACCUCGGGAAACUGAGGUCAAUGCCCGAUACGACUCGCCAGCUGGAGUGCGGCGAGUUGGAAACGCUCCGGCGCCAUAGGAUGUGGCUGCGGCCGAUUAGGUAGACGGUGGGGUAACGGCCCACCGUGCCGAUAAUCGGUACGGGUCAUGAGAGUGAGAACCCGGAGACGGUAUCUGAGACAAGAUACCGGGCCCUACGGGGCGCAGCAGGCGCGAAACCUUUACACUGCACGACAGUGCGAUAGGGGGACUCCGAGUGCGAGGGCAUAUAGUCCUCGCUUUUCUGUACCGUAAGGUGGUACAAGAAUAAGGGCUGGGCAAGACCGGUGCCAGCCGCCGCGGUAAUACCGGCAGCCCGAGUGAUGGCCGCUAUUAUUGGGCCUAAAGCGUCCGUAGCCGGCCAGACAAGUCCGUUGGGAAAUCGACGCGCUCAACGCGUCGGCGUCCGGCGGAAACUGUCUGGCUUGGGGCCGGAAGACUCGAGGGGUACGUCCGGGGUAGGAGUGAAAUCCCGUAAUCCUGGACGGACCGCCGGUGGCGAAAGCGCCUCGAGAAGACGGACCCGACGGUGAGGGACGAAAGCUAGGGUCUCGAACCGGAUUAGAUACCCGGGUAGUCCUAGCCGUAAACGAUGCUCGCUAGGUGUGCCGCAGGCUACGAGCCUGCGCUGUGCCGUAGGGAAGCCGUGAAGCGAGCCGCCUGGGAAGUACGUCUGCAAGGAUGAAACUUAAAGGAAUUGGCGGGGGAGCACUACAACCGGAGGAGCCUGCGGUUUAAUUGGACUCAACGCCGGACAUCUCACCAGCACCGACAGUAGCAGUGACGGUCAGUUUGA
rnacentral:rRNA from 1 species